rnacentral:rRNA from 1 species
CAAUAGCGUAUAUUAAAGUUGUUGCGGUUAAAAAGCUCGUAGUUGGAUUUCUGUUGAGGUCGGCCGGUCCCUACUUCGUAGGCGUAUCUGGUUCAGCCUUGGCAUCCUCCUAGGGAACGGCACUGCUCUUAACUGAGUGGUCCGGUAUCUAGGACUUUUACUUUGAGGAAAUUAGAGUGUUUACGGCAGGCAAUCGCCUUGAAUAUGUUAGCAUGGAAUAAUAAUAUAGGACCUUGGUUCUAUUUUGUUGGUUUCUAGGACUAAGGUAAUGAUUAAUAGGGAUAUUUGGGGGCAUUCGUAUUAACCGGUCAGAGGUGGAAUUCUUGGAUUCGGUUACGACGAACUACUGCGAAAGCAUUUGCCAAGGAUGUUUNCAUUG